GCUUGCUCCUCUGACGUUAGCGGCGGACGGGUGAGUAACACGUGGAUAACCUACCUAUAAGGCUGGGAUAACUUCGGGAAACCGGAGCUAAUACCGGAUAAUAUAUUGAACCGCAUGGUCCAAUAGUGAAAGACGGUUUUGCUGUCACUUAUAGAUGGAUCCGCGCCGCAUUAGCUAGUUGGUAAGGUAACGGCUUACCAAGGCAACGAUGCGUAGCCGACCUGAGAGGGUGAUCGGCCACACUGGAACUGAGACACGGUCCAGACUCCUACGGGAGGCAGCAGUAGGGAAUCUUCCGCAAUGGGCGAAAGCCUGACGGAGCAACGCCGCGUGAGUGAUGAAGGUCUUCGGAUCGUAAAACUCUGUUAUUAGGGAAGAACAAAUGUGUAAGUAACUAUGCACGUCUUGACGGUACCUAAUCAGAAAGCCACGGCUAACUACGUGCCAGCAGCCGCGGUAAUACGUAGGUGGCAAGCGUUAUCCGGAAUUAUUGGGCGUAAAGCGCGCGUAGGCGGUUUUUUAAGUCUGAUGUGAAAGCCCACGGCUCAACCGUGGAGGGUCAUUGGAAACUGGAAAACUUGAGUGCAGAAGAGGAAAGUGGAAUUCCAUGUGUAGCGGUGAAAUGCGCAGAGAUAUGGAGGAACACCAGUGGCGAAGGCGACUUUCUGGUCUGUAACUGACGCUGAUGUGCGAAAGCGUGGGGAUCAAACAGGAUUAGAUACCCUGGUAGUCCACGCCGUAAACGAUGAGUGCUAAGUGUUAGGGGGUUUCCGCCCCUUAGUGCUGCAGCUAACGCA
rnacentral:rRNA from 1 species